GAUCCGUAGCUGGUCUGAGAGGAUGAUCAGUCACACUGGAACUGAGACACGGUCCAGACUCCUACGGGAGGCAGCAGUGGGGAAUAUUGGACAAUGGGCGAAAGCCUGAUCCAGCCAUGCCGCGUGUGUGAAGAAGGUCUUCGGAUUGUAAAGCACUUUAAGUUGGGAGGAAGGGCAGUUACCUAAUACGUAAUUGUUUUGACGUUACCGACAGAAUAAGCACCGGCUAACUCUGUGCCAGCAGCCGCGGUAAUACAGAGGGUGCAAGCGUUAAUCGGAAUUACUGGGCGUAAAGCGCGCGUAGGUGGUUCGUUAAGUUGGAUGUGAAAUCCCCGGGCUCACCCG
rnacentral:rRNA from 1 species